UGAUAAUUAUACACGGAUAUAAUAGAUCUGACCGUGAAACGAGCCCAUCGGUGAUCAGAGAUCAUCAUAUCUCAGCUCUACGAUGACCGAUUUCAUUGAAAUUAGGCUUAAAUGAAAGCUCGUCCCCGAUUUAUAUUGCACAACUGAUCUUACAUUUGCUGUAAUGUUAUAAAUAUGGGAGCUAUUUGAUGAAACGCCAACCUAACUCCGCUUUUCUGCUCCCCUAGCGGUAUAGAUAUACUUGGUAGUUCGCCCGUUCUUUUGAAUGCUUGGCGCGAGACUCUACCGAGUCUCUUGAUCAUAUUCGUGUGUAUUCGGCGAUGAUCGACAAUCUCGCGAUCCUCGCCCUCCGCUUACCUCAAUGACCACUACCUUCACAUGGGCACCCACAAAUUUGUAGACUCGUAGCUAUGGUUCGACAAAAAAGGGUGUAUUCGAGCUCUUGCGGCACCAUAUUCAAGAUAAAGUUGGAUUGAUCUUUCACCAUUGAUAGCUCUGAUUAAGAAUCGAAUGGAUAUUCUACGCCCAUUCAACAUCAAUGUGAAAACAUUAAAUUCAAAGAUUUGAGUGAUAGAAACAGUUUCUAUAAUGAAAGAUCUGCAGUCUGAACAACCUCAAGUAAAAAGGUUGUACGUUACACCAGAGAUGGCUACUACACGUGUUUUGCAGAACCUAGUUAUGGAAAUGUACAAUGCCGGUGUGAUAUCAUAUAUUGUGCUCGAUAUAUUGUGCUCGUUGCACUUCCAAAGUAUGACGUGCUUGAAUCAUAUACUGAGAGUGACAUUUCUGGACCAGGAUUUGAAGCAAUGAAGGAACAAGAAAAACGCGUUAGCUAAAGAAUGGCUUUCUUCGCAAUUUGCUUUUUGCAGAGGAAAUAGAAAGCCUGAAACACCAAGUCCCCAAAUUAAAAUGGCUGCAUCUGAAGCACAUGUCAAAUCUGUAGAAGCAACGCAUGUAAAAUAAAGGGACUAACAACAGAGUCGCGAGAGUACUUCUACAAUUAUUUGGUUGAAACACUGACAGAGAAUCACAACAUGUUCAAGAAUCAUCACAAGAUGAUUUCAAUCAACGCAGAAGAUAUAAGUUCUUUACCGCAAGAGCUCGAAUACACCCUUUCUUGUCGGACCAUAGCUACUAAGUCUACGAAUUUGUUAGGGGAACAGAAAAGCAGAGUUGGGUUUGCAUUUCAUCAAAUAGCUCCCAUAUUUAUAACAUGACAGCAAAUGUAAGAUCACUUUUGCAAUAUAAAUCGGGGACGAGCUUUCAUUUAAGCCUAAUUUCAAUGAAAUCGGUCAUCGUAGAGCUAAGAUAUGAUGAUCUCUGAUGAACUUGCCUCAAUUUAUAUGCCUAUUUUAUUAAUAUUAUUGGCAUUUGACUAAUUUUCACAUAUGUAGGAUUUAUAUUUUUAUAUAAGUAUAUAAUAGUGUAUGCCCACCUGUGUAUACAACGUACGUUCCGUAGUGCAGUUUUGAAAAAUUCACAACCGCAGUGGUCUCAGAUGCUUAUAUUUCUUUAGCACUUGGAAUCUGGAUUUCAUGGUCGAAUAAAAUUUGCUUUUUUCUCUUUCCUCGUGUAGAUUGAUAACCCGCAGUUAUUGAUUACUCCAGAUUCUUCACCCCUAUUAACAAGAGCAACAAAAACAAGACCGAUAAUAAUUGUGUGCACAUUGUACAUGUGAAUUUACAUAUAAUUUAUAUAAUUUGUAAUAUCUUUAUGGUCUUGUGUAAUUUUCAUAAUUGAACGGCAUCACGCUUGUAGGUUUACACAUUUGUAGUCAACGCACAUCAUAAUCUACUGUAAAAAUUGCCACCGGCGCUUUCAUGUGUCUCGUGUAUAUCAUAUGAAAAUAAAUAGAUCGCAUAUGGUGUAUAAAUAAAAUUGUAUAGUUGAA